GAAUCUUCCACAAUGGGCGAAAGCCUGAUGGAGCAACGCCGCGUGAGUGAAGAAGGUUUCCGGAUCGUAAAACUCUGUUGUAAGGGAAGAACAAGUACAGUAGUAACUGGCUGUACCUUGACGCUACCUUAUUAGAAGGCCACGGCUAACUCCGUCCCAGCAGCCGCGGUAAUACGUAGGUGGCAAGCGUGGGCCGGAAUUAUUGGGCGGAAAGCGCGCGCAGGCGGUCCUUUAAGUCUGAUGUGACAGCCCACGGCUCAACCGUGGAGGGUCAUUGGAAACUGGGGGACUUGAGUGCAGAAGAGGAAAGUGGAAUUCCAAGUGUAGCGGUGAAAUGCGUAGAGAUUUGGAGGAACACCAGUGGCGAAGGCGACUUUCUGGUCUGUAACUGACGCUGAGGCGCGAAAGCGUGGGGAGCAAACAGG
rnacentral:rRNA from 1 species